rnacentral:tRNA from 1 species
GGGCCGGUGGCUCAGCCCGGUAGAGCGUCCGGCUGAUAACCGGAAGGGCCCGGGUUCAAAUCCCGGCCGGCCCACCA